UUUUAAUUCUCGCCACAUCUGUGACACUGAUGAAGAAAGCCAGAAUCAGGGAAUUUAGCUUCCCCUCGGUCAUUCAGCUGCAGCCGAGAUUAGAAUCCAGAAACCUCUGGCUCCGAAACAAUUACACUUUAUGACUUUUUGAUGACAGGAGAAUUUCACUUCCCUCCCUGUUUUCUUUUUCUUCUUUCCAAGGGUCCCUAGUAGAUGAUUUAGUUAUUUAAGAUGUAAUGUGGUAUAGAGGAAAGAGGCGGGCUUUGGAACCACGCAGACCUGAGUCGGAAUUACGUCUUCUGGACUUAUUAGUGGACUGGCUUUGGGAAAAUGACUUAACAUCUCUAGAUUUUGAUUUUCUCAUCUUCCAAAGUGAGGUCACAAUGCCCUAGAACCCAACCCACGGCUUGGCCGGGAUCCACCCUUGCUUCCAACGUCAUAUGUCACUUCAUACUUUCACAGUCCUUCAAAUCUCUUCUCCCGUCUGAGCUUCAUGAGCCGGGAGGUCCCACGUACUCGCCUUGGCAUAGGUGGGGAGCUGUUGGUCCUGACUGGUUGAUGGCUGACUCCCAGUUCUGUGUUUAUCCACUGAAGCCCAGUGCAGUUGUUGUGCAAGGUGUCGGCAAAGGACCAGGAGAGGGGACCAAGCACCUCUAAGCUGAAGAAUGGUGUGCAUCUCUCCCCCUUCCACCGUUUCUGUUCAGGUUUGACUCACAGAGCCUUGCAGCUUCACAGUCACUUAUAAGAGGAGGUGGUAAAGACAGCUGCUGGAGAGAACAUCUGGCAGGGCUCUGAGCAAAUGUUCUUACCAGGGGGAUAUGAAGCCUGAGACCCUGACUAGCAUCUGAGCCCUGGGAUGCUGAGCGUUCCCCAACUCGUUAAUAAAAGGAUCUGCUGGACUCAUUGUAAGAUGGGAAUGACAAAAACUGUCUGGUUUACAUACGAGAUCACAGAUCAGGAAUGUUGGAGCGUUUCACUGGCAAGGAAUGAAGAGCUCAGCUACAAGCCUCGGAAAACAGGAGCAGGCACAGAGCAACAGCUCGUUGUGUGCUUCUUGCCCUGGGGAAAGGACGUAGUGCCUGUGGACACGGGAGUCCGCUAUCAAUGCAUGGUUACACACACCAACCGCCUGCUCUGUGUGCUGGACCCAGAAACCAUAGAGCCUUUUCCCAGCCCUUACAUUAGGACAGAGUACGAGGCUCCGAACUCUCUCCAGUGCAUCCAAGUAUCCUGGGUUUCCCUCAUUUUCUGAUCACAUUAUUGACUGGAAGGGGGAGGGGAGGGAGUACAGGUAACUAAGAAGUAGAGCGAGCACAUAGGUGUAUGAACUAUUAUAAAAUAAUAAAAAUAGCAACCACUUAUUGACCCCUACCAUGUGUCAAGUACUCUGUUAGAUAUUUAACAAAUGUGACUUUAUUUAAUAUUUCUAACAUUCAUUAUAUAUUUCUAUUCCCAUUUUAAAGACAGGCCAACUAAGGCUUAGGGCGCUUGGUCACCGUUCCACGUAAUAUUACACUAGAAAAUGUGUGUUAAAGGGAGAAAUUAUACCAUAAGUAUCAUAUAAUAGGAGCA
ensembl:lncRNA